rnacentral:misc_RNA from 1 species
GAUGAAGAACGUAGCGAAAUGCGAUAAGUAAUGUGAAUUGCAGAAUUCAGUGAAUCAUCGAAUCUUUGAACGCACCUUGCACCCUUUGGCAUUCCGAAGGGUAUGCUCGUUUGAGUGUCAUUGUACUCUCACACUCUCCGAUCCUAUGGAUUCGGGGAGCGGUGGACUUGGGUGUUGCUGCCUUUCCUUGUGGCUCACCUCAAAUGUGUCAGUGCACCUCUUGGUUGGACAUAGUACGGCGUGAUAAGUGUCUUCGCCGGCACCUCGCAAGAGGGUGGCCGAUCGGGAGCUCUGUGCUUUCAAACCGUCUUCGGACAACAUCUGACAACUUGACCUCAAAUCGAGUAGGACUACCCGCUGAACUUAAGCAUAUCAAUAAGCGGAGGA